rnacentral:rRNA from 1 species
GACGUAGGGGGCCAGCGUUGCUCGGAAUUAUUGGGCGUAAAGAGCUCGUAGGCGGUGUGUCGCGUCGGCCGUGAAAACCUGCAGCUUAACUGUGGGCUUGCGGUCGAUACGGGCAUCACUGGAGUUCGGCAGGGGAGACUGGAAUUCCUGGUGUAGCGGUGAAAUGCGCAGAUAUCAGGAGGAACACCGGUGGCGAAGGCGGGUCUCUGGGCCGAUACUGACGCUGAGGAGCGAAAGCGUGGGGAGCGAACAGG